AGUCUGUUAACUCGUUUCUUCUAGACCAUAUAGUCCCUUUAAAAUACGUAAACAUCACCUCUCACCAGCCUUUCUCCAAAAGAGGUUCAUCAGUCUUCGCUUUCUGUAUUCCCUCUGCCCUUUGACACAGUUAUGUACUACUCUCCCAAUUAUCUUCUGUAAUAUGGACCAUAGCUGGAAGAAAUUAGACAUUGCCCAAGAUUCUGUUCUGUCUUCCUUCUCCACUAACCUGGUGAUCUAUGCACUUCCAUGAUUACAUCUCUCACUUGGAUACUGUUGACUUUGAGAUACCCAUCUCCAGCCCCAUCCACAGUACUGAGGUCCAGUCAGGAAUUUGUAAAUGUUGAACAACUCUAUCAAGAUAUGCUUCCUGCACCUCAUACCCAGUGCUUGGAAAAUAACCUCUUUGUGUUCCCUUUUCCCCUUGCCCAGAUACCUUUCCCUUCUUGAAUUUCCUUUUUAUGUUACUGGAACUAGUAGGUUCUAUUUCAGACUUGUGUAAACAAGGAGUUACCUGAGUCCUCUCCCCCACCAUAGGUUGCGUAGAUCCAACCCUGCUUUCCAUUCCUACUGAUGCCAUCCUAGCUCGGACUUCAUUAGCUUUUACUAGCAUUAGCUUUUUAGCUAUUCUCUUUCCCCUUAGGACUUUAUACCUCCAGUUUAUCCUACUCUCUGUAGUGGGUGAGUUAUCCUAAAGCACAGUUCAGACCAGGUCAUAUCUCAAAAAACAGCUCUCUGUUGCCUACUGUAUAAAAUGCAUUCUACCCCAACCUUAAAAGUGCUUCCCAAAUAUGAUCCCAAACCACCACUGCGACAUAACUCCUUGCCUGUUUUCAGCUAACUGAAAUGGCACACUCCAAAUAUAGGUAACACUUACUAGCCCCCUUGUCACUGCCUAAUUCUUUCCUCCACCUAGAAUAUCCUUUACUCCAUCUCUGACUACCAGAAAUGAAUCCCAUCCAAUGCCCAUGUUCUCCAUCAACUCGUUCCCUAUUCUCCAAGCUAGUAAUGAGCUCAGCCUCUUCUGAGUUCCUAUACCAUUUGUUCCUGUCUCUCUUUUAGAAUCAGCUACAGUAUAUAUUGUGUAUAUAAUCUUUUGUAUAAUUCUUAGUAUGUACUAUUGGGUUAUAAGCAUCUUGAGGGCAGAGACCUUGUAUUCAUGUCUAUCACCCACAAUCUCUUUUAUAUAUCAACCCCUGGAUGAAAACAGAAGCCAGGAAACAGAGUUUAGACUAAAGGAAAAAUGAAUGUAAACCUGGUUUUGUUCACAGAUGUGUAGAGCUGCAGAAGACACUACAACCUCAGUUUAAUGAAUUCAGUCAUGCAAUACUCAUUUUCUAUCCUGUACCUCUUCAUUUUAGAAAUGAACAUAACUUGCCAAGCAAGAUGACCAACACCUGUAAUCCCAGCUCCCUGAGGCUGAGAUAGCAUCCUGCAUCCCGAGUCUUAAACAGAAUCUAAUGCAACAAAAGAAGAUUUAUUCUCCACUCCUUAGAAAAGGAGAAUGAAUAGCGUCAACCAGAGAAAUCUGAAAGACGAACACUAGCCUUAAUGGAGAGUCCUUCAACUCAAGACAAGGAAAAGAGACUAUACUUCUAUGAAAAAAAAUUUUAAGAAGAUGUGUUUGUGCCUAUAUGAUCUCCCACCAUGAUGCGCCACCAUCUAUUGCCCUCAUUGAAAGCCAAAACAGUGUCCUCUCAUCAGUCUCCUCAUCUUGGACUUUGAACCUCUAAAACUGUGAGCUAAAUAAACCUUUUCUCUUUAUAAGUUACUUGCCUUUGGCAUUUCACUGUAGUAACACAAAGCAAACUAAUACAAUGCCCUUCCAUUACUUUGCACCUGUUCUGCGUAAUCAAACCUAGAUUAUUUCACAGUCUGCUUUUCCUGUUCUUCCUUCUCAAACAACAGGGCUGGAGAAAAUUAUAUGAUGUAGAGUCUUGUGCUGUUGCAGAUUCUGGCUCAACUGAAC
ensembl:lncRNA